GAUGAACGCUGACAGAAUGCUUAACACAUGCAAGUCAACUUGAACUUCGGUUUGGGUGGCGGACGGGUGAGUAACGCGUAAAGAACUUGCCUCACAGAUAGGGACAACAUUUGGAAACGAAUGCUAAUACCUGAUAUUAUGAUUUUAGGGCAUCCUAGGAUUAUGAAAGCUAUAUGCGCUGUGAGAGAGCUUUGCGUCCCAUUAGCUAGUUGGAGAGGUAACGGCUCACCAAGGCGAUGAUGGGUAGCCGGCCUGAGAGGGCGAUCGGCCACAAGGGGACUGAGACACGGCCCUUACUCCUACGGGAGGCAGCAGUGGGGAAUAUUGGACAAUGGACCAAGAGUCUGAUCCAGCAAUUCUGUGUGCACGAUGAAGUUUUUCGGAAUGUAAAGUGCUUUCAGUUGGGAAGAAAAAAAUGACGGUACCGACAGAAGAAGUGACGGCUAAAUACGUGCCAGCAGCCGCGGUAAUACGUAUGUCACAAGCGUUAUCCGGAUUUAUUGGGCGUAAAGCGCGUCUAGGUGGUUAUAUAAGUCUGAUGUGAAAAUGCAGGGCUCAACUCUGUAUUGCGUUGGAAACUGUGUAACUAGAGUACUGGAGAGGUAAGCGGAACUACAAGUGUAGAGGUGAAAUUCGUAGAUAUUUGUAGGAAUGCCGAUGGGGAAGCCAGCUUACUGGACAGAUACUGACGCUCAAGCGCGAAGCGUGGGUAGCACACACGAUUAUAUACCCUGGUAGUCCAAGGGCGAAUUCCACAGUGGAUAUCAAGCUUAUCGAUAUCGUCGACCUCGAGGGGGGGCCCGGUACCAGCUACGUUCCCUUUAGAGAGAGUUAAUUGCGCGCUUGCCUAUCAGGUCUAACUGUUUCCAGCGUAAUCAUGGUCUAGAUUGUUUCCUUUGUGGGGAAGAUGCAGUAUUUGUAUAUCUGAUCGGUCGGUGAUCUCCU
rnacentral:rRNA from 1 species